AGCAUAUGGAAGUUCCCAGGCUAGGGAUCAAAUCAGAGCUGCAGCUGCUGGCCUACACCACAGCUCAUGGCAACACCAGAUCCUUAACCCCCUGAGUAAAGCCAGGGAUUCAUCCCGCAUCCUCAAGGAUACUAGUCAGGUUUGUAACCCACUGAGCCACAUCAGGAACUCCCACUAUUUGUCUUUGUCUGACUUAAUUCACUUAUGAUAAUUCUAGGUCCACUCAAAUGGCAUUAUUCAUUCUUUUUAUAGCUGCAUAAUAUUCCGUUGUAUCUAAGUACCGUAUCUUCUUUAUCCAUUCCUCUGUUGAUGGACAUUUAGGUUGCUUCCAUGUCUUGGCUAAUGUAAGAAUAUUGGGGUGCAUGUUUCUUUUUGAAUUAGAGUUUUCUUCAUAUGGAUGCCCUGGAGUGGGACUGCUGGCUCAUAUGGUAACUCUAUUUUCAGUUUUUUAAGUUAUAUCCAUACUAUUUUCCAUGGUGGCUGCAAUAAUUUACAUUCCCUCCAACAGUGCAGGAGGGGUCCCUUUUCUCCACACCCUCUCCAGUAUUUGUUAUUUGCUGACAUUUUGAGGAUGGCCAUUCUGAGUGGUGUGAGGUGAUACCUCAUUGUAGUUUUGAUUUGCAUUUCUCCAAUAAUUAGUGAUAUUGGUCAUCUUUCCAUGUGCCUGUUGGUCAUCUGAAUGUCUUCUUGAAAAGCAUAAUGGCUCACCAAGACUCUGCUGGCAUGAGGACCCAAGUGGCUUGGUGGGCACAGAAGUGACCAAGAACUUUGAGGCUGACAGUGAUGGUGGUUUUGGAUUUUUAUGCUGUGGAGAAUGAAGUCACCCCUUAAACCUCAGGGCUUACACUUGCCUGUGAAGAGAAUCCAUGUACAUACUUGAUACUGGAAUAAGGAUCAGUUAAAUUCUUCCAUCAACAUCUUAAAGUCUUUUAGCUUACUUUUUUUUGAAAAGGAUUGAUCUCAGAGGAAAGGCAGUUGGGACCAAAGAGUAGUCAGAAUAAAGUAAACAAAUGGCCUUUCUUUUCCUUUCUUUAUCUGUAUUUCGACUUAUACAUCAUAUUUCUAGAAAGGCCUACCCAGCCCACAUAUAUAUAAAUAAGAUUUCCCACCUUACUCCUAUCUUAUGUUUAUCUUAUCACCUUAUUGAUUUUCUUCAAAGUACUUCUGAGAAUUAGCAAUUAUAGAUUUCAAUGUUAUCUAUUUAUUUUGACUAUGUGUCGUU
rnacentral:lncRNA from 1 species